ACAGAACAGACACGGGGAUGGGUGUGACUUGCAGCAAGGUUCCUGGGAAAGGGCAGCUGCCCAGAGGCCAUUAAUCUGUGACGGGAAAAAGGAGGACUUGGCAGUGAUUUGACUUGUACACUGACAGAAGGCACAUGAACAACUGUUUAUUUCCGGAGUCUUCCUGGGAGCUUUUUGGAUGAAUAGAUAUUUUCCUGAGAAAUAAGUCUGAGAUUUAUCAAUGAUUCCACUGUGGAUCCCUACAUCUCUGUAUUUCUUUCCUCAAAUGAAGCAACCGGAUACAAAGCUGUGCCAUGGUCUUUGACAAAUACUGCAGAAAGAAUAAAACUUGGAGAAACUGUUACUGCUUUGGUGGCCUGUAUUUCAACAGCUCUUUGCCAUCUUUCUGUGAAGACUGAUGCUGUACUGGGGAGGACAAAGGACAAAGAUUGACACUUCAUAGUUUCAAGCACUUCCAAUCCAAAUACUCAAUAUAGUGCAAAAAUGCCUGACACCCAAGCUGAUGUGGCCUAGCUUGUGCAAGGUAAUUUAAAAUGCC
rnacentral:lncRNA from 14 species